rnacentral:SRP_RNA from 1 species
UUGGCAGGACCGCAUAGCCAGCUCCUGCCGAAUCCCCCAGGCCCGAAAGGGAGCAAGGGUAAGGCGGUUGAGCGGCUGGUGCGGAGCCCUGCCAUUUU